GGAGGCUGAAGCCAGUCCCCAGUGAACAUGUCAUGUGAGGAAAAACUCAGAUGAAUUUGGAAUGUUCUUUGGCAUUCAAAGGGUGCAGCUUUAUGAUGCUGUGCAUGAAGCAUUGCAUAAGGUGCCCCAAGAAAUAAAGAUACUGUAAACAGAAGCAGGGACCAUCAGAGCUAGAAGAAAUCUUAGAAUUGACCUCUGAAACAU